GACGAACGCUGGCGGCGUGCCUAAUACAUGCAAGUUGAGCGAUGAAGAUUGGUGCUUGCACCAAUUUGAAGAGCAGCGAACGGGUGAGUAACGCGUGGGGAAUCUGCCUUUGAGCGGGGGACAACAUUUGGAAACGAAUGCUAAUACCGCAUAACAACUUUAAACAUAAGUUUUAAGUUUGAAAGAUGCAAUUGCAUCACUCAAAGAUGAUCCCGCGUUGUAUUAGCUAGUUGGUGAGGUAAAGGCUCACCAAGGCGAUGAUACAUAGCCGACCUGAGAGGGUGAUCAGCCACAUUGGGACUGAGACACGGCCCAAACUCCUACGGGAGGCAGCAGUAGGGAAUCUUCGGCAAUGGACGAAAGUCUGACCGAGCAACGCCGCGUGAGUGAAGAAGGUUUUCGGAUCGUAAAACUCUGUUGGUAGAGAAGAACGUUGGUGAGAGUGGAAAGCUCAUCAAGUGACGGUAACUACCCAGAAAGGGACGGCUAACUACGUG
rnacentral:rRNA from 1 species